AAUCAAGUAAAGCUACAAAAAUAAGAGGAAUAUCGGCCAUAAUAUUAGGAAUCAAGUUUUCAUGGACUAUAAAUUAAUGCUGAAAAUUGUUGUUCACAAUGACAACGUAAUUAAACUAUGCUUAGGCCUCAUUUGUUUGCACUCAAUGAAUGUUUGAAUUUUAAUCAUUCAUAUUUCAGUCAUUAACUAAAGUUUGUUUUUAUGUCUAAAUCUUAUAGCAAGUUUGGUCAAGCUUCUCCAA
rnacentral:lncRNA from 1 species